rnacentral:rRNA from 1 species
UGGGGAAUAUUGGACAAUGGGCGAAAGCCUGAUCCAGCCAUGCCGCGUGUGUGAAGAAGGUCUUCGGAUUGUAAAGCACUUUAAGUUGGGAGGAAGGGCAGUAAGCGAAUACCUUGCUGUUUUGACGUUACCGACAGAAUAAGCACCGGCUAACUCUGUGCCAGCAGCCGCGGUAAUACAGAGGGUGCAAGCGUUAAUCGGAAUUACUGGGCGUAAAGCGCGCGUAGGUGGUUCGUUAAGUUGAAUGUGAAAGCCCCGGGCUCAACCUGGGAACUGCAUCCACAACUGGCGAGCUAGAGUAGGGCAGAGGGUGGUGGAAUUUCCUGUGUAGCGGAGAAAUGCGUAGAUAUAGGAAGGAACACCAGUGGCGAAGGCGACCACCUGGGCUCAUACUGACACUGAGGUGCGAAAGCGUGGGGAGCAAACAGG